rnacentral:rRNA from 1 species
ACGGGGUGCAGCAGGCGCGAAAACUUCACACUGUGCGAAAGCGCGAUGAGGGAAUCCCAAGUGCUUGCUUGUAAAAGUAAGCUGUUUUUAUGUAUAAAAAGCAUAGAGAGUAAGGGCUGGGUAAGACGGGUGCCAGCCGCCGCGGUAAUACCUGCAGCUCAAGUGGUGAUCACUAUUAUUGGGCCUAAAACGUUCGUAGCCGGUUUGGUAAAUGCCUGGGUAAAUUGUGUAGCUUAACUAUACGAAUUCCGGGUAGACUGCCAAACUUGAGACCGGGAGAGGCUAGAGGUACUCCUAGGGUAGAGGUGAAAUUCUGUAAUCCUAGGGGGACCACCAGUGGCGAAGGCGUCUAGCUAGAACGGGUCUGACGGUGAGGAACGAAGCCCUGGGUCGCGAACCGGAUUAGAUACCCGGGUAGUCCAGGGUGUAAACGCUGCUUGCUUGAUGUUAGUUGGGCUCCGAGCCCAAUUAGUGUCGGAGAGAAGUUGUUAAGCAAGCUGCCUGGAAGUACGUCGCAAGAC